CGAUCUGUUGCGGGCAGAUGAAAUGGAUAUGGCUGUCGAAACCGCCCGCGGUCAGGAUGCGCCCCUCGCCCGCGAUGGCCUCGGUCCCCGGGCCGACGAUGAUGUUGACGCCCGGUUGCGUGUCGGGAUUGCCCGCCUUGCCGAUGGCGGCGAUGCGCCCGUCCUUGAGGCCCACAUCGGCCUUCACGAUGCCCGUAUGAUCGACGAUCAGCGCGUUGGUGAUGACCGUGUCGACCGCGCCCUCGGCACGGGUGGUCUGGGCCUGGCCCAUCCCGUCGCG
rnacentral:sRNA from 1 species